GAUGAACGCUGGCGGCGUGGAUUAGGCAUGCAAGUCGUGCGAGAAUCUCCCUUCGGGGAGAGGACAGCGGCGAAAGGGAGAGUAACGCGUGGUUACAUGCCCUCGGGACCGGGAUAGUAGCGGGAAACUGCUAGUAAUACCGGAUAAUAUCUUUGGAUCAAAGGUGUGAUUCCGCCCGAGGAUUGGACCGCGUUCUAUUAGCUUGUUGGCGGGGUAAUGGCCCACCAAGGCGACGAUGGAUACCGGGUGUGAGAGCAUGGCCCGGCUCACUGGGACUGAGACGCUGCCCAGAAACCUACGGGUGGCUGCAGUCGAGAAUCUUCGGCAAUGGGGGAAACCCUGACCGAGCGACGCCGCGUGCGGGAUGAAGGCCUUCGGGUUGUAAACCGCUGUCAGUUGGGAGGAAGUGCCAGGGGGUUCUCCCCUUGGUUUGACCGAUCUUCAGAGGAAGGACGGGCUAAGUUCGUGCCAGCCGCCGCUGUAAGAC
rnacentral:rRNA from 1 species